rnacentral:rRNA from 1 species
GCCCUUCAGCAGCCGCGGUAAUACGUAGGGGGCAAGCGUUGUCCGGAAUUAUUGGGCGUAAAGCGCGCGCAGGCGGNCAUGUAAGUCUGGUGUUUAAUCCCGGGGCUCAACCCCGGAUCGCACUGGAAACUGCGUGACUUGAGUGCAGAAGAGGAGAGUGGAAUUCCACGUGUAGCGGUGAAAUGCGUAGAGAUGUGGAGGAACACCAGUGGCGAAGGCGACUCUCUGGGCUGUAACUGACGCUGAGGCGCGAAAGCGUGGGGAGCAAACAGGAUUAGAUACCCUGGUAGUCCACGCCGUAAACGAUGAGUGCUAGGUGUUAGGGGUUUCGAUACCCUUGGUGCCGAAGUUAACACAUUAAGCACUCCGCCUGGGGAGUACGGUCGCAAGACUGAAACUCAAAGGAAUUGACGGAAGGGC